AGACACCCGCCGGAGACUGAGGGGAAGGAGAGGCACAGGCUGCGCUCUCCUUCCCUCACACAGGACGGCAGCGGCCAGCGGCAGCGUAUAUACAGUACCCAAGAGGAAACGCAAAGUCACCAAAGUGGAGCUUGCUGCACGGGCAAUGACCAAGGUGCUGGUUGAAGAACUGCACAACAUGGACAACAACAUGCAGCAACAGGACUAUGCCCAACAACUCCGUUUUAUAGAGGUGGAAAGAGAGCUGCAGCAAUCCUUCAUAAUGCAGAUAAUGGGACACCAAGACCGGCAAUUUCAGUUCCUGGAACGUAUCUUGCCUCGCAUUCAGGGUACCCAUAUGUACCCAGCUAUCCAGGCCCCUCCUGUCCCCGAGCACAGUUGUCCCCCGUAUUCUAGAGGUCCCUACUAUGACCCCCCUAUCCCUAAUCCAUCAUCUCCAGAUUACAAAGUAUAUAGGCAAUUGCCAUAGGCAGUCUUUGCCUUGGACUGUGUAUUUAACUUUGAUAGUUUUGGGCUGUUAUAAGGUCACAAUUUUCAUGUGUGUUGGGGGGGAGGGUUGUGUUUUAUAUCAAUAUGUUUGCCUUGUGUUUCCCACAUGUUAUCAUUUUAUGCUAAGUUUUACUCUAUAUAUGCCUGUGCAUUUAGCAGGGUAGCUUUGUACAAUUGAAAACAAAGGAUAAAACAGUGCAAACUUUU